ACGCUGGCGGCAGGCCUAACACAUGCAAGUCGAGCGGUAGAGAGAGGCUUGCUUCUCUUGAGAGCGGCGGACGGGUGAGUAAUGCCUAGGAAUCUGCCUGGUAGUGGGGGAUAACGUCCGGAAACGGACGCUAAUACCGCAUACGUCCUACGGGAGAAAGCAGGGGACCUUCGGGCCUUGCGCUAUCAGAUGAGCCUAGGUCGGAUUAGCUAGUUGGUGGGGUAAUGGCUCACCAAGGCGACGAUCCGUAACUGGUCUGAGAGGAUGAUCAGUCACACUGGAACUGAGACACGGUCCAGACUCCUACGGGAGGCAGCAGUGGGGAAUAUUGGACAAUGGGCGAAAGCCUGAUCCAGCCAUGCCGCGUGUGUGAAGAAGGUCUUCGGAUUGUAAAGCACUUUAAGUUGGGAGGAAGGGCAGUAAAUUAAUACUUUGCUGUUUUGACGUUACCGACAGAAUAAGCACCGGCUAACUCUGUGCCAGCAGCCGCGGUAAUACAGAGGGUGCAAGCGUUAAUCGGAAUUACUGGGCGUAAAGCGCGCGUAGGUGGUUCGUUAAGUUGGAUGUGAAAUCCCCGGGCUCAACCUGGGAACUGCAUUCAAAACUGACGAGCUAGAGUAUGGUAGAGGGUGGUGGAAUUUCCUGUGUAGCGGUGAAAUGCGUAGAUAUAGGAAGGAACACCAGUGGCGAAGGCGACCACCUGGACUGAUACUGACACUGAGGUGCGAAAGCGUGGGGAGCAAAC
rnacentral:rRNA from 1 species